UUGUUUAUCAAAUCCAUCUUCCCUCUUUGUAAAACCAGAGAAACAUCGUCCUUCUGUCAUCCUCCCUAUCUACUGUCAGCCUAUCUACGGCCUCCCUCCACCUUCCCUUUUAUUUUCCUUUUAUUCUUUUGUUUAUCAAAUCCUUCUUCCCUCUUUGUAAAGCCAGAGAAAAAUCGCCCUUCCUCCGUCGUCCUCCCUAUCUGCCGCCGGCCUAUCUACGACCUCCUUCCACUUUUCCUUUCUUUUUGGAGCGAGGUGCAAAGAAGGUGUAAAGAUAGGAAAACCCGAAGCCAACAAAUUCGGAAGAAAAGCCGAAGCCCAGCCUCCUAUGAACCCUCCGAUCUGUCAACUGGAACUAAUUUCCAUCCAACAAAGUUAAUUCUUUAUCAAAGAGGAAAAAAAUUCAGAGCUCACCUAGCCCUUGGCACCUACUGCUGCUACUACUACUACUGCAAAAGAGAAUCAAUCAGGCAUAUACUUUUGUGCUACUAGUGUUCAAAAUUCACAUGACUUCCUCUCGUUUGUCAACAAUUAGCUGAUUCCAUGCCAAGAAAUGUACGCCAUUUUAGUUGAUUGAUUAGACAAAGCAUCACAUAUGGAAAGCAACACAUUUUUUUGGAUUGUCUGCAAAAAGAGGCCUCUUUGGUUGCAGGAGUGAUGGUUAAAGGGAAUCAUUCAAAACAGAGACCUGGAGCAACAAAUGCCUCUAGAAUUAUGUCGUUGCCUACAAAUGCUAGUAUGCUUGCUGAUCCAUCCACUCAACCACAAAUGCAACAGGUCAAUAAUGUACCUUCUGAGCCACCCUCUUUAUUGGUGAUAUCUACAGAGAAAGUAGAUAACAAGACACUACUCACGAUUCUUCUAGAUCCACAACUAUUGAUAUAGAUGCAAGUGUAGAUGGUACAUCCUCAAGGUCAAGAGGUUGGGGCCUAGUGUGGGAUUACAGACUCCUAUAGAUCCAUCAGAAAGAUUGCAUAUAACUCCUAUUGGAGAGAGGAAAAAUGUGUUUGGCCUACAAAUCAAGAUGUUUUGGUUCGACGAAUAUGGGAUGCAAUUUGUUCCGAUCGAUUAAAAGAUAAGCUUUCAGAAGAGAGGAACAAAGCAAUGACAGAAGUCAAAACAAACAACAUUAAGGAUUGCAAAGGCAUGUCAAGAGAAUGGAUCACAAAUGAAAUCUUGGAUGCCCUUAUCUAUACGAUAUGGGGUACAGAAGAAUUGCAAAACAAAUCGAGAAAAGCAAGGCAAAAUUGGUUAAUGCCUAAAGAAGGAAGCAUUCCAAAGCACACUAGUGGUUCAGUUCCAUUUAUUGUUCAUGCAAAAAAGAUGGCAUGAAUUAAUCUUACUUCGUAUUUAUAUGUAUGGGUUUUUUCAAACUAAAUUUAAAUUCUAUGUUUAGUAGUUUGACUUUAGCUUUUCCUUACAUGUUAUUUAUAUAUAUGGAUUAUGAUUGACUAUAUAUAGCUGUUAAUAAAUGCAAACAAUUGAGAUGAAAAGAGAUGUUAGCUUUUUGGAAGUAUUCAAUCGCACCCAUAAGCGUUGAGCGGGUUACGGUGAUUUUAUAGAUAACAAGUCUAAAUCUGAAAUGUAUAAUUCUGUAUUACCACAAAAGUAUGGAGAAGAUUCAUCUUCUCAGCCAGAAUUUGAUCUACAUGCUUGGACUAAAGCAAUUGGAGGGAUGGAGACUACACGCAUUCACGUAUAUGGGUUUGGUACUCGAGUACAUGUUACAGCUCUUCUUAGUGGAACACAAAGCAAUGCAACAACAUCUGAGUCUGCGUGUGGCCUUAUCAACUCUAAUGCUACCAAUCUCGCAAUUGCAUUAGAGGAAAAAGUGAAAAAUCUAUCAAAAAACUUAGAUAAAAUUCGUGAGGAAAUAUGUGGGGAAAUACGUGAAGAAAUUAAGAAUGAAAUGGCGGAAAGCAUGAGUGAAUCUAUGGCACGUAUGGAAGCAAUGAUCGUGACUAAUGCGUUUUCAAAACAAGGAAAUGCGGGUACUUCAAGCUCAAAUAUUGACAAAUAAAAACGUAACA